AAAACAACAAACUGAUUUCUUAGAUAUCUAUCAUGCUUUCCGGAAGCAGUCCCACCCAGAAAUUAUUAGUUAUUUAGAAAAGGUCAUCCCUCUCAUUUCUGAUGCAGGACUCCGGUGGCAUCUGACAGAUCUGUGCACCAAGGUAUUCCUGCAGUUAACCCUUCCUACAAAUGUGGAAUCUUGUUAGAUUCAGUGUGCACUAAAACUAGGUAAGAGGGGUAGUCAGGACUUUCCUAACAUCUACAAAUCUCUUACCUUCCAAGAUACAGCGUGGUACCCACCCAGCAAUACAUGAUAUCUUGGCUCUGAGAGAGUGUUUCUCUAACCAUCCUCUGGGCAUGAACCAACUCCAGGCUUUGCACGUGGUGAGCACUUUGAGGGCUUCUCUUUUCCAUAGCAUCACCAUGUUUCAAGUGUUUGCUUGAGCUCAUACUAUUUGCCUUUCCCCUCCUAUGUGGUUGUGUUACAGAAAGCCUUGAGCCGGGCCAUGCUUCUCACAUCUUACCUGCCUCCUCCCUUGUUGAGACAUCGUUUGAAGACUCAUACAACUGUGAUUCACCAACUGGACAAGGCUUUGGCAAAGCUGGGGAUUGGCCAGCUGACUGCUCAGGAAGUAAAAUCGGCUUGUUAUCUCCGUGGCCUGAAUUCUACGCAUAUUGGUGAAGAUAGGUGUCGAACUUGGCUGGGAGAAUGGCUGCAGAUUUCCUGCAGCCUGAAAGAAGCUGAGCUGUCUCUCUUGCUGCACAACGUGGUCCUGCUCUCCACCAACUACCUUGGGACAAGGCGCUGAAUGAACCGUGGAGCGGAUGGCAUUGUCCUGCAGUUGCAUAAUAUAGCAGUGCAGGAACAGACAGCACUUGCCAGCAAAGUCUGUGUGUACUGUUAAGUGUGUG
rnacentral:sRNA from 1 species